rnacentral:tRNA from 1 species
GGCGGAUUCGUCUAACGGUUAGGACGCCAGUUUCUCACACUGGAAAUAGGGGUUCGAUUCCCCUAUCCGCUACCA